CUAGGAAAGGCAGAUGGAUUACUGUAGGAUCUGGUAGACUUAGAGUUGUGGAUAAAAGGCAUUUUGCACAGUCUGUUGCUCUUCAUAAUUAAUUUUCUGCACUUUCAGAGUGUAAUGGUGUUGUGGAGAGAGGCACUGAGGCUAGUGGUGUUGUGGAGAGAGGCACUGAGGCUAGUGGUGUUGUGGAGAGAGGCACUGAGGCUAGUGGUGUUGUGGAGAGAGGCACUGAGG